GUCACUCUUGUCGCCAUCUUGGUUUUGGUGGGUUUUAGCUGACUUUACUGCAAUCUGUUUUAUCAGCAAGGUCUUUCUGACCUGUAUCUUGUGCUGACCUCCUAUCUCAUCCCGUGAUUUAGAAUACCUUGAUCAUCUGGGAAAACAGCCCAGUAGGUUUCAGCCUUAUUUUACCCAGCCUCUGUGGAAGAUGGAGUUGCUCAGGUUCGAACACCUCUGACAUUUAUGUCCUGAUAAACCCAUUGUAAGCUGAAAAUAUUAUAAGUUGAAAAUGCAUUUAAUACACCUAACCAACCAAAUAUCAUCAUAGCUUAGCAUAGUACCUUAAAUGUGCCUAGAACACUUAUGUUAGCCUACGGUUGGGCAAAAUUAACACAAAGGCAGUUUUAUAAUAAAAUGUUGAAUACCAGUGUAACUUAUUGAAUUCUGUACUAAAAGUGAUAAACAAAAUGGCUGUAUGGGUAUAGAACCAUUGUAUACCCAUACAACCAUUCUGUUUAUCACUUUCAGUACAGAAUUCAACUUGAAGUGUGGUUUCUCCUGAAUUGUGUCUGGCUUUCACACCAUCGUAAAGUAAAUGGGAAGCUAGCUGCUGUGUCCUGAGGAGACUCAAGCAGUCCUACAGAGAAGCAGACAUGCCAAAGAAGUGAGACGUAUUUCCAACUUUCAGAGAGGAACGGAGACCUCUGCCAACAGCCGUGUGAGUAAGCCAUCUUGGAAACAGAUCCUCCAGCCCCAGUCAAGCCUUCAGAUGACCACAGCCUCUGUUAGUGACUUGACUGCAACAUUCUGAGAGAUGCUGAGUCAGAACCACCCAGCUAAGCUGCUCCCAGAUUCCUGACCUUCAGAAAUUGUGUUAGAUAAUAAAUGUUUGUUGCUUUAAGUCCCUAAACUUUGGGGUGAUUUGGUAUGCAGCAAUUGACAAGUAAAACUCCCAUGCUGGCCUCAUCUUUCAAUGCCUCCGCACCAUGCUCCCACAGUACUCAUAUACCUGAAGCACACCCAACUUGUUCCUGACCAACACCCUGUCUCGUUGUUCCCUCUAAGACCCUCUCACACUGGAUCUUCUGGUUCCUGUCAUUCAAGGCUUAGUCUUUCUUGGCAUUCUCUGUGCCUAAAACAAUUCAGG